AGUGAACGCUGGCGGUAGGCCUAACACAUGCAAGUCGAAAGGCAGCACAGGAGAGCUUGCUCUCUGGGUGGCGAGUGGCGGACGGGUGAGGAAUACAUCGGAAUCUACUUUUACGUGGUGGAUAACGUAGUGAAACUUACGCUAAUACCGCAUACGACCUACGGGUGAAAGCAGGGGAUCUUCGGACCUUGCGCGAUUGAAUGAGCCGAUGUCGGAUUAGUUAGUUGGCGGGGUAAAGGCCCACCAAGGCGACGAGCCGUAGCUGGUCUGAGAGGAUGAUAAGCCAGACUGGAACAGAGACACGGUCCAGACUCCUACGGGAGGCAGCAGUGGGGAAUAUUGGACAAUGGGCGCAAGCCUGAUCCAGCCAUACCGCGUGGGUGAAGAAGGCCUUCGUGUUGUAAAGCCCUUUUGUUGGGAAAGAAAUCCAGCUGGUUAAUACCCGGUUGGGAUGACGGUACCCAAAGAAUAAGCACCGGCUAACUUCGUGCCAGCCGCCGCGGUAA
rnacentral:rRNA from 1 species